GACGAACGCUGGCGGCGUGCUUAACACAUGCAAGUCGAACGGAAAGGCCCUGCUUGCCGGGUACUCGAGUGGCGAACGGGUGAGUAGCACGUGGGUGAUCUGCCCUGCACUUCGGGAUAAGCCUGGGAAACUGGGUCUAAUACCGGAUAGGAGCCAUUUUUAGUGUGAUGGUUGGAAAGUUUUUUCGGUGUAGGAUGAGCUCGCGGCCUAUCAGCUUGUUGGUGGGGUAAUGGCCUACCAAGGCGGCGACGGGUAGCCGGCCUGAGAGGGUGGACGGCCACAUUGGGACUGAGAUACGGCCCAGACUCCUACGGGAGGCAGCAGUGGGGAAUAUUGCACAAUGGGCGCAAGCCUGAUGCAGCGACGCCGCGGGGGGGAUGACGGCCUUCGGGUUGUAAACUCCUUUCGCUAGGGACGAAGCUUUUUGUGACGGUACCUAGAUAAGAAGCACCGGCUAACUACGUG
rnacentral:rRNA from 1 species